UACGUAGGUCCCGAGCGUUGUCCGGAUUUAUUGGGUUUAAAGGGUGCGUAGGCGGGCUUUUAAGUCAGCGGUAAAAAUUCGGGGCUCAACCCCGUCCGGCCGUUGAAACUGGGGGUCUUGAGUGGGCGAGAAGAAGGCGGAAUGCGUGGUGUAGCGGUGAAAUGCAUAGAUAUCACGCAGAACCCCGAUUGCGAAGGCGGCCUUCCGGCGCCCUACUGACGCUGAGGCACGAAAGUGCGGGGAUCGAACAGG
rnacentral:rRNA from 1 species